CUACAGUUUUAAAGAUAAAAAAGAAAGUCAUAAACUUUCCAAUCCCAUAAUCCAAUUUACCAAUGAGAUGAUUAUAAUUGAUGUUUUAAGAAAUCGACUCUUUUAUCUUUUGUAAAUGCUGCUCAGCAUUUGAGGCCGUUGUUUCGUGAUAUGUUUGUUUCUUUUGUAGUGCUUCAAUAUCUUCUCUUAAACUUGCCAUUUCUGCGUCCAAAUGUGUACGUACGGAAGCCAAAUCGGAUUUCAUAAACCUGUAAAUAAACAGUUAGUAAAUGACUUUACAUAUAGAUUGACAGUACGGUCAAUUCCAUUCCAAAAGUGCUGUUUUUGCUAAUUCCGUAUUCUUUCCCUAUUUUUAUAGAAAAGAAAAUAAAAAUACAUGUUUCAUUUUAUGACACUUACAUCUUUCCAAGAGAAGUAUAUACGGCCUUAUCUUCUCCAACAUCCUCUAACUCUUUUUUGGCUAAUUCACUUAUUUUUAGUGCCCGUUCCUUGGCAGCAAUCUGUACCAUUAUGGUCCUCAGUUGUUGCUGUGAAUCAACCGCUUUCUCUUGUAUUUGACUAGCUAACUAAUAUGCCCAAAGCUCAUUAGUUUACCAUGUAACACAGUUAAAAAGAGGGAAAUUCCUAACAAAAUAAUUCUCUUCUCAAUGAUGAAAUACGUACAUUUUGCAUUAUUUAAAGGAAACUUGGGUAUAUCUCAAGAACUUAUUUUUUUUGGAUUGAAUUGCUCUUUCCAAAAUUAUGGUACAAAGAAUAGUCCUUUUAAUACUUUUUUUAUAGACAAAUCAAGAACUUUUUCAAUAUAUUUGAAUAUACCACCUUUACAAGUAUAUCAAGUCUUAGGCAAAAUGUUGGUUAGGCC